ACGCUGGCGGCGUGCCUAAUACAUGCAAGUCGAACGGCUUUUCUAUGGAAGCUUGCUUCCACUGAAAUGAUAGUGGCGAACGGGUGAGUAACACGUGGGUAACCUGCCCAUAAGAGGGGGAUAACAUCCGGAAACGGGUGCUAAUACCGCAUAGUUUUCUUGAUCGCAUGAUCGGGAAAGGAAAGACGGCCUUUGUGCUGUCGCUUAUGGAUGGACCCGCGGCGUAUUAGUUAGUUGGUGAGGUAACGGCUCACCAAGACGAUGAUACGUAGCCGACCUGAGAGGGUGAUCGGCCACAUUGGGACUGAGACACGGCCCAAACUCCUACGGGAGGCAGCAGUAGGGAAUCUUCCGCAAUGGACGAAAGUCUGACGGAGCAACGCCGCGUGAGUGAAAGAAGGUUUUCGGAUCGUAAAACUCUGUUGUCAGAGAAGAACAAGUUGGAGAGUAACUGCUCCAGCCUUGACGGUACUCUGACCAGAAAGCCACGGCUAACUACGUGCCAGCCGCCGC
rnacentral:rRNA from 1 species